UUAAUAGGCUGCUUCUUCACUCUAACGAGGGGUUGUGCUGUUCGUUCACCUUCACUAAUGUUUUCGCACUGUGGAUGGUGCCGCUCUGUCAUCCCAGAGGAAGAUCUUUAAUUUUUGUUCCAGUUUCAUGCCAGCGCUCAGGAAAGCCCCCAUUAAAAUGCCACUCCACAACCCCCGGAGAACAGGUGUGAACUUGUUGCAUCCAGAUGAGUUACGUAUACUGUAUGUGUGGGUAGAAGUGGCAAUAACAAUAGAGCUAGUAGGAGCCAGAGAACAGAUUUUUUUUUUCUCCACUCAAGAAAAAAUGAGUCACACUCCUACUCAAAACACAGCGAGCCUUGUGGCGCGUUGUCGAUGGAGAUGUAGAUGCCUUGGCUUCUUCACUGCUUCAUAGCAUCUGUAACUCAGCGGCGCUGUGGGAAAUGGGCCUCUGUGAAAUCACCUUCUCCAGAUCCGCUGUAAGACAGACCGGUAAAGGAGAUCCUUCCUGCCUGCAGCCAUCACCAUCUACAACUCGUUGAAGAAACCCCCAGGAGUUACGCCAGUAUUUCAUUUCCCUUUGGGAUUAAUCAUUUUAAACUGAAUUGAAUUGAAUCAUCAUAUUUUUACUCUAGGGCAAAAGGAGCGAUUAGAGAUCCUGGAGAUUAGGAGAGCCGAAGAGGUGAAGCAUCUAUAACUUUGCAAAAAAACAAAACAAAAACAAUUGCUGUGCCCAUCCUAAAUACAUUCACUCUAACUAAGGGUUGAUACUCUUCCUCCAUCAUAUA